rnacentral:rRNA from 1 species
UACAGAGGUGGCAAGCGUUGUUCGGAAUUACUGGGCGUAAAGGGCGCGUAGGCGGCCAUCUAAGUCAGACGUGAAAUCCCCAGGCUUAACCUGGGAACUGCGUCUGAUACUGGAAGGCUCGAGUUUGGGAGAGGGAUGUGGAAUUCCAGGUGUAGCGGUGAAAUGCGUAGAUAUCUGGAGGAACACCGGUGGCGAAGGCGGCAUCCUGGACCAACACUGACGCUGAGGCGCGAAAGCUAGGGGAGCAAACGGG